GGAGGAGUCGCCUAGUGGCCUAUGGCACACGCUUGGAAAGCGUGCAAGCGAAAGCUUACGCGGGUUCAAAUCCCGCCUCCUCCG
rnacentral:tRNA from 1 species